rnacentral:hammerhead_ribozyme from 1 species
CAACUACUGAUGAGUCUCAUACUAGAACGAAACGAUCGUCCAGUGC